rnacentral:rRNA from 1 species
GAGUUUGAUCCUGGCUCAGGACGAACGCUUGCGGCGUGCCUAAGAAAUGCAAGUCGAGCGAGGCUAGAGAGCUUGCUCUCGAAACCUAGCGGCGAACGGUCGCGUAACACGUAAGCAACCUGCCCCUAAGACCGGGAUAGCCCGCUGAAAGGUGGAUUAAUACCGGACGUGAACACGAUGGGACAUCCCGUUGUGUUUAAACCAGGUAACUGGCUUAGGGAUGGGCUUGCGGCCUAUCAGCUAGUUGGUGGGGUAACGGCCUACCAAGGCGACGACGGGUAGCUGGUCUGAGAGGAUGGUCAGCCGGACUGGGACUGAGAUACGGCCCAGACUCCUACGGGGGGCAGCAAUUAGGAAUCUUGCGCAAUGGGGGAAACCCUGACGCAGCGACGCCGCGUGAAGGAUGACGGCCUUCGGGUUGUAAACUUCUUUUAUCAAGGAAGAAACAAAUGACGGUACUUGAUGAAUAAGCCCCGGCUAACUACGUGCCAGCAGCCGCGGUAAUACGUAGGGGGCGAGCGUUGUCCGAAGUUACUGGGCGUAAAGCGCGCGUAGGCGGGUUUUUAAGUCGGAUGUGAAAUCUCCACGGCUCAACCGGGAAAUUGCAUUCGAAACUGGGAACCUUGAGGUAUGGAGAGGGAAGUGGAAUUCCUGGUGUAGCGGUGAAAUGCGUAGAUAUCAGGAGGAACACCCGUGGCGAAGGCGGCUUCCUGGCCAUAUCCUGACGCUGAGGUGCGAAAGCCAGGGGAGCGAACGGGAUUAGAUACCCCGGUAGUCCUGGCCGUAAACGAUGGAUACUAGGUGUUAGUGGUAUCGACCCCACUAGUGCCGUAGCUAACGCAAUAAGUAUCCCACCUGGGGAGUACGGCCGCAAGGU